UUAGGGUUAGGGUUAAGGUUAGGGUUAGAAACAAAAAACUAACAUCAACAAGAUAACUGGCUCCGUCAUAUGGCGGUGGUACCGAUAGUCUGGCUAGUGGGAGCGAGAUGAAAUGGGAGCGUCCUGAGUUGGGAGCGUCAAUCAGGGAAUCCCCUGCGGUGUACACCGCUUCCCCGGCCGUGCUGAGGAUGAAGACAUUCGCAAGAUGUGGAUUAAAAACGUACACCGAAAGGACUUUGCCCCCAAACAAGUAUUCAAGGGUGUGUGCGGAGUACACUUCCCUGACGGCAGACCAACGCAGGAACACCCAUAUCCCAUAAUAUGGGAUAUGAAUAUAGUAAAGCACCAUCAUGUGGAAGACCACCCCCAAAGAGGAGAUGUCUCCAGCCCCCAACAGAGAGACUUGGAUUAAUGUUGAGAGGAUUAUUGUUCAAUACGGUGUAGAAACACUUGGUUCAGUUAUAUGUAUAUAUCUAUCUUCUUUCAAGAAAUCCUUCAUCCCCUCAGCUGUGACCAUACUGAACAAGAGAUGAACUGUCCAGCUGCAGCAUGCAUGUAUUGUGUGGUCUUGUCUUUUUUUUUUUUUGGUCAAGCCUUGUCUAAUGUCUGUGAGAAUCACUGAAGCCACGCCAAAGACAAUUUUCUUUUUCAUGGGUGUAACAGACAAUUAAGUUUUAUCUAAUCUAAUCAUAUCAAUGAGAAUCAGUGCACCUGACAAAGGCAUGACAUACCGUAUACUGUAGGCUUAAAUGCUAAAGAAAAAUGAAUUAACCUGGCGGUUUUGAAUUGUUUAUUUACACAGUUAUUAAAAUGCAUACAGAUAGUGAAUUUAA